AUGGCAGCAAGCACACCGACGUUUGUGAGCGGCACCCCCAAAGGCCAGCCCGGACCCCCCCUGCGGCACGCUCGCUGUCACACCUGUGCCACAGAGCAAGCCACGGGCGCUGCCCGCGCCACGCGCAUGCCCGCACGCCUGCUCACGCGCAGCUCGCAGGGACGUGGCUCAACUCCCACCGCUCCUCAGGGCGCCGCGCGCGCCCCGCAGCCGGCAGCGCUUACCUCGAGAGGAAAGACAGCAGAAAUCCCCGCCGCGAAAGCAGUACUGGUGCUUCCUUCUGCCUGCCUUUUACGCGGAGCAAAAAAAGAUGUUUUCUGUGUCAGCAAGCCAAACUUCCCCCUCAGCCUUGCCUCUUCCCAUGCGCGUUUGCUGCCUGCAGCCUUUGUAUCGUCUCCCCGGGGCCAGGAGGGAAGGAAUAACACCGGACGGUGCUGCAGCCUCCUUCAGGGAGGGCACGCACUGGUACUGGACCAAGCAGCACGUACCCCUGCUAUACCCCGCCGGUCACCCCAGCGGCACCUCACGAGCUCAGCAUCCUGGUCCUGGGCACACAGCAAGAGGGCGCAUGCCUACACAACACAGGCGUGCACGGCGCGAUGGGAGCCCAGCGUAAGGACCAGUGGAAAGGUUGGCUCUUUCUCCGAGCGACUCAGCUGUGUUUCCCCAAGCACAAGCCACGCGCCCUCAGCAUCCCUGCCAGGGAGUGGAAAUCCGCCGUGCAGGAGCAGCCAGGCGGUUUUGUCCCACGCUUCUGCAGUCAGACUUCAGCUGCAGAAAACUGCUCCUUCCAGGAGGGUCAGGCUCUUCCUUCGGCGCAGAGAUGGAGGUCAGAGGCAGUCCUUCAGAACAAGGACUGCUGGAGGAGAACGUUAUUCACCUCAGCGCUCCGGCUGUGUCAGACAGCUGAAGCUGCUGCACAGCACGCCGGGCUCUGGAGGAGCAUCCCCACUGCAGUCAUUUUACCUUGGGACCCGGGACAUGCCGUUUGACCUUCCUCGUGCCACCAUAACCCAGCAGGAAAAUCAGCCGCGAGCAGGAUCCUCGCUGGAAGCCAGGUGCUGUGGCCGAAGCAAGAUUUCUCAGGGUAUUAUAUCCAAAGCACAAUCAGAUAACCUCCCUGAUGCAGUCCAGGCACAGCUGUUCUCAGCCAGAAAUUCACAUUACAGCUUCAUGCAGCUCCUCUGUACGGAUUUCAGCAAAAGCAGAGAAAAAAUCCCCCUGCUUAAGACAAGGAUGGUUUAUCCGCAACACCCCCAAAGGGUUACAUGUGGGAGGAGGGCUUGCAAGGACCUGCUGCCGCCUCUGGGACUCUCUCCAGUGCUAUUCGCCUCCAGAUGGGCUGACCAAGCGCUUGUUGGCUGCAGAAACAGCAUUGCCAGGACCUGGUUAACCCGAGCAUUUAAAGCAAAACUAUCCAAAAUGAAAAGAACAAACUGGGGCAGCUGCUUGCUCUCUGCUGCAGGUUCCCAAGCUGCAGCACACAGCUGCAGCAAGCGUCACACUUCUGCAGAGCCCUCCGCGCCGGCAGCGGCAUGUGACAAGAGCCAAGAGGGGCUGCAAGGGAGCUAA
rnacentral:lncRNA from 1 species